rnacentral:lncRNA from 1 species
GCCAUCUUGGUUAUGGGCUGCGGCCCGACGCGGCCUCUCCGCCGAGGCGUGGAGACGUCACGCUAGAGGCCGCGAGCUGGCCAGACACUCCGUCUUUCCCACAACAGGUGCAUUCAUCCAUCCGCCGACGGUUGGGGAGGUCUUGCUAGCUGGUGGGCUUGGCUCUUUACCCGUUGUCCCCGAGUAGCCCUCAAGCCUGGAUGUAGCCUCAGUCCCGGCAGCCCCCUCCCCCCGGCCUGGCCUGCCAGCUCAGGGUGAGCCCGGUCGGAUUGUCACUCGACGCCCACUAGUGGCUGAGGAGGCUCCAGUGCGCAGGCUCCGGGCACCGGAUAAAAGCGGAGCUGGCGAGUCCCGCGCUGUCUCGAUGGAGGAGCGAGAAACGCAAGAGGUCGGGGGGAGAAGCCGCAGAAAAAAUUGCAGCCAUCGUCAGCGCCGCCUCCCUGCCACCGUGUAUGGGGUAAAAGCUGCCGUUGCCGCUGCCGGUGCAGUCGCUGCCGCCGCCUCCUAUACUUCUUAGCACCGGGGAAGGAUUCCCCGCCGCGGGACAGUGUGCUGGGCGGGGAGCGGGAGUUCGUUUGUGUGGCGGUGAUUAAACGAGGGAGGGACAGAGCUGGUUUCUCGAACCGAAAAGGGGAGGCCAAGGAACAAAACAGGGUUCUCCACUAAAAUCACACAGCGAUUACGGAUCUGGCUUUGGGGGCCUUUCCCCGGAAUGGCGGUUUCCGUCUUCUUGGCCCGCAGCACGACCUUGGGUGCUCCGUAAGAGGAGUGGGGAGAGGCAGAGGCGGUGUCGGCAGCCAAUCGGCGUCUGGUGAUUUCUGUCGGGCGCGUAGGGAUUGGCUGACGAUGACCUCAUGCUGCAGCAGCGGGUGGGGCCAGAGUCGUCGGGGGUGGCUGUUGCAAAGGCAGAGAGUGAGAAGUGAUGACGGUGAUCGUUGUCGCCGCGUCUUCUGUGGAACCCAAGCAGUGCCGAAGGAAGUCGCAAGGCUCUUCCCCGACCUUUUGCUCCUCUCCCUGCGCGAGGUGAGGGCCCUGGCUCGGCCUCUGCGAGACUUUGGGGCGCUGGUGCGGCCGUGGAGGCGCAAUUUCUCCUGUGACUUUUGUAACUGCGUCAGGGCAAGAUGGCGCUGGGUCUCCUUGGGGCGCGGGGGGAGAGGCACGUCCACCGCCGCCGCAGCGCAUGUGACCGGCUGCAUUCCUGUGGGGUUUGGCGGGGACCCAGGCAGGGCGGGGGAGGGGACCGGGUUUGGGCGGAGGAGAUGGUGGUGCGGUCGGCGUUGGCUGCCCGAAGAGGAAGAGAUGACUGUUUGAAAGCUCUUCCCCUCCCCCACUCCCCGCAGCAGAACUGCUGCGGGGGGGGGGGGAGCCCCUGAAAGGACACUCCUUUCGGGGUGUGCCAGCCACUGGUGGAGGAGAAGGUUUGACGCCUUCUUAUAUCUGCCUUUCUCCUUGCAAAGUAUGCUUACGUAAGGUGGCAGUUCCCUCCUGUAAGCCAACUAGGAGGCCCUGAGUGUCACUGGUAUGGGUAACAAGGACAGGUUAGGCUCUGAAGGCACCACAGGUAGGAGUGUUGAUUAUUUCAGACAAAACAUAAAGUUUGGGGGGUCUGAAUAGAAGACUACAGCAUUCUCAGAGUUUGAAAGCAAGUGAAUAACACCCAGGAACACUUAGGGUUUCUAGGCAGACAGCGAUUAAGGACUGCAUCACAGUCUGAACGGAAGGGCCCUGUCAAACCUUCUCCUUAGAUUCUUUGUGUUCAUUACCCUCCCUGUCUGUACAUCCCGUGAGAGAGUUUAAGUAAUCUUACUGGUGAGGGUUGCCUUUUCAAAUAUAAGUAUUCUUAGUAAUUUUAGUAUUUUGUUCUGUAUGAAACUGAAAGGUCAUUUUCUAUACUUCACGUUGCAUUUUGUCGUCCUUUUAAAAAUAAAAAAUGGAAUUACAAA